GGGCCUAGUUUGUUGACUGUGCUGCUCAUGGUAAACUGAAACUAGAGAUUAUACCUUGUGGACCUGCUUUUACUUUCAGCAGUUUAGAUCAGUUCACUUUCAGAUUAUGGUUAUAUUUCUCCACCAAAUAUCAACUCUGCACCGCCUCUGUAUUCAGACAUGAGUGGUGGACUUGAUGGUAGAAUACAGACAGAAUAGACUAUGUGAAGAACGAACUUUUGCCUUCAUGUUCCUGCCUGGUGAAAACUCUGUCUGGGGAGGUCAGAUGUGUGACAUCUCAUCAGCCAGGCUGUAUUUGAGAAAAGUGAGGAAUCAAUACUUAUUGAUUAGGGGAGCUGCCACAAUCAACUCUUCCCUCACCCUGCCUGCUUGCCUCAGUGUCGCUGUUUAGAAGGCAGAUGGCCCUGCGUACUCAAUGGUGCUCUGCACACAGGACGUGUUUAGUGGCCCAGACUGAACCUCUCCACAGGACUCAGCUGUGUCCUACUGCUUCUCCAACAGACUGACAAAUUUACUGUGGCACUCUCUCACUGAAAGAGAUGUCAAGGAAUAAAAAUCUUAGGAUUUUGAGGAAUAUUGUGAAAUGCAAUUUAAUCACAGGAUCUUUGAUUAAAAUGCUGUUUUGUAUUUUCACUACUCUUUAGAAAAGAUUUUUCAUUACGGUGAAUGGGUUUAAACCAUUCUUUACAUUUCUGUGUGAUGUGCAGUAAAUGACUGACUGUUGAUGUACUACCCUUAUGCUGACUGGGCCAUGACCAAGGAGGAAAUGAGCUCAGAUUUCCCACAACCCAUCACUCCCACUCGUCGAUUCAGAGCCAAUUUACUGCCCCAGCCCUUUUUUUUGUUGUUGCUGAUACUGGCCAUCUUGCCACAUGGCUCAACUAAAUUAAUUUAUGUUUCUUUUUCAGUUUGUGGUGUAGUUGAGAGCUCUGUAUUCAAUAUUCCAAGGAGACAUGGAACUUACAAUACCUGAACAGGUGUGGAGUGGGAGGUAAAAGCCAAAAGCUGCAUCACUGACUCAGCACAAUGUGCAAUCUGCCACAUGAGCAGAAUAAAUAACACACCAGUUAUCUGGUGCACCAGGAAAAGAGAGAUAUUCAAAAAGGUUUAUAAUUUUUCUGUUAAUCUAUAAUUGAUAGUGUGGUCUGACAUGAGAUCCAGAAUGAGGACACUUAGUUUCACAGAUAUUAUUAACAGUAUACCAGGAAUACUGUGCCAUAGGAUUUUCUUGUGUUUUAUUAAAACCAUUUAUAACAAACAUUGAACUGUUUGAGAAGAACUGUGGCUGCAAAUGACAGGAAAACAUUUCCUCAUGGUUGACACAUUAUACUAUAUAAGAUUUAUAAGAUUUAGUUUUCCCAUCUGAAUCUGGUAUGUGUGUUUAUUUUAUUCCACUAAAUUAACACAUUGUGUGGGAGUUUCACUAGUGACUUCUGAUGCAGAAUGACUAAGAGCCCCUGUUUUGCUUGGGUUGUUUUAUUAACAUGCUGUAAACUGCCAGCCUUAUGAGGUCUCUAAGGACAGAUCAUUUGUGGUAGAAUAUUAAAUGCUUGUGCACCAUGUCAACAUAACAUGAUGGGGUGUAUAAAGCUGUGUGGUUUCUAACUGCAUACUUCAUCAAUCAUAGGCUGAUCCAUCCUUUUAGGAAGUUACUACAGAGUGUGGCAUCAUUAUAUAAACAAA